GAUGAACGCUGGCGGCGUGCCUAAUACAUGCAAGUCGAGCGAACGGACGAGAAGCUUGCUUUUCUGAUGUUAGCGGCGGACGGGUGAGUAACACGUGGAUAACCUACCUAUAAGACUGGGAUAACCUCGGGAAACCGGAGCUAAUACCGGAUAAUAUUUUGAACCGCAUGGUUCAUAAGUGAAAGACGGUCUUGCUGUCACUUAUAGAUGGAUCCGCGCUGCAUUAGCUAGUUGGUAAGGUAACGGCUUACCAAGGCAACGAUGCAUAGCCGACCUGAGAGGGUGAUCGGCCACACUGGAACUGAGACACGGUCCAGACUCCUACGGGAGGCAGCAGUAGGGAAUCUUCCGCAAUGGGCGAAAGCCUGACGGAGCAACGCCGCGUGAGUGAUGAAGGUCUUCGGAUCGUAAAACUCUGUUAUUAGGGAAGAACAUAUGUGUAAGUAACUGUGCACAUCUUGACGGUACCUAAUCAGAAAGCCACGGCUAACUACGUG
rnacentral:rRNA from 1 species